rnacentral:misc_RNA from 1 species
AAAAAAAAAAACACAUAAAUCAGCUUAACUCACCCUAAACAUCGAUGCUAAACAAUUUGUUUAUUCAUAUACAUUAACAAAUUUUGAGUAAUAAAAGAGGGGAAAAAAAUGAUGUUAACAUGGAAUAAGGUAGGUACAACAUAAUUUAGCUUGAUGACGUCUCAAUGACUGGUCGACGCAAACCAGAAUAAACUGCUUUCACGAAAAGAGGAUGCGCAUUUUCAGAAAAUACCUCUGCAUCUAACUUCUCUAUGUGAGGCCAUAUCUCCGAAGCAUAUUGCCUUGAGAAGGCCUUGACAUAGCCUAGAGUUGACAAACACCACUGUUCCUUGUCACCUACUUUAUAGACAUUACUUGCCUUCUCACCAUUGGACUGACUUUUUUUGGGUCUUCCAUUCUCAUUAUCCACUUCCAUUUCAGAUGAUUCAUCAAGGUCAACAAUCAUUUCAUCUGCUUGAAUUGAUUUCAAUGCCCCCAAGGUUUGAGCUUUAGAUGCAUCAGGCAGGCGUUCCAUUAGCACAUUUGAGAAGUUUUUGUAUAAUGAGAGGAACAAUGCCUCAUUUUCAUCAAGGGCUCGAGCAAGCAGAGCCUCCUUGGCCUCCAAAGAAUCACGCACGGAUAUCUCCUCUUCUUUUGUUUUUUCAGCAUUUGAUUUUAUGGGCUUCAUCUUUGCAGGAUUUUCACCAAGCACAGGUUCACCAUCCACCAGAGUGAGCUUUGAUUCAGCAGCAUCUAACUCAGCUUUAGCCUUGGCUGCAGCGUCUUCUGCUGAUACAACACUCUUCUUGAGAGUCAAGAUCUCUUUCCUUAAAUCAGAUAUGCGAUUGUAAGUCUUACUGAUGGCAUUUCUAAGAACCUCCCAUGGAUGAUCAGAUAUAUGAAAUUGCUCAGUGUUUGCUGGAGAGAAGACCCAUCUCAGAAUAGCUAAAUUAGAUAUAAGCCGAUAACCCAUCAUUCUGUCAAUUGUAAUAGCUGUCAUUUGGGCAUUGUUCUUCCAAUAGGAACUCACUUCAGCUAUCAGCAUGAUCUGCUUAUCUUGAUCAUGACAUAUACGUGCAAUGACUUGGCCAUAUCUCUCCAAAACAGUAAUUAAAUGAGUGAAACUUUUAGACCCGAUGUCAAUAAGAGUUUGCACAACCACUGUAAGUGCAGCUUCCAAACCAUGAUGGGGAAACACACUUUCUUCUACCCAUGAGAUGAUUUCUCGGGCAGUUUGCCUUCCCUUAACCUUGAUGAUGAGUUCUGCAGAAAGUGCAUGUUGUUCAGUUCUUUCUUUGCCUUCUUCCAAACUGUAUUUGAAGUUUGGACCACCCUUUGGUGGAAGCAACUCCUCUAAAGCAGGUGCAUUCUCAAUGCUCUGCUUAACUUUGUCCCAGUAUGAUAGACGAACUUCUCUCUCCAAAACCUCUUGAACAAACACACGCUGUGGAGCCCACUUAGGAAGGUCUAAGACAUAAGCCCAUUCUUCCCAUGGCCAAAUGAAUUGAAAGUUUGACAGAUGGUGUGAAAACCAAAGGAUGAGCCGUGUUCGACACUCCAUAUCUAAAUCAGCUAUUUUCUCAAAAAGUGCACGAACUGCACCUGCAACAACUGCAGGAAAAGCCCCUGGAAGAGCCUUACAGAGAUCCAUAAUAACCAGUGUAUAAUAUAUUGGCUUGAAUGGGGGUUGAGGUAACAAAAGUAACUGAGAAAAUAUAGUCUCCGCCAUAAGAUACUCAUAUCGGAAGGGCACAGGCAGGCCAACCAUGCAUGAAGCACAUUCCUUUCGACUAGCUUUGCACGAACCAAGGAAAAAAAAUAACUAUAAAAGCUAAAAUCCAGAAAAGAUUCAACAGAACUGAGGUUGAUGGGCAUGGCUUAACAACAUAAAUGAAAUAGAAGCCAAAGAAAAAGAAAAACAACAUUAAGUUGAUUCAGUGCAUUCAACCACAAGAAAGCCUAAUCAUUCUAAUAUUAAUUAAAGAAACUAAAGCACAGAGUAUAAAUAAUGCAGUAGUGAUGGGUUAUCGUAUUACAAACCAGCCAUUGAGGAACAAAAGCACAUCCAAUAAAUACUCUUCCAUGAUGAAACGAUCUAUAGGUUCCAUAUCCUGUUAACAAAACAAAAGAAUGAAUAGGAACAAAUACAGAUUAAAAGAAUAACAAAAUACCAAGGGACCAAAUACCAAUCAAUGCCGAGAGAUAAAAACCAUAAAAAAUGUGCAGAAAAGGAAAGAGAGAUGCUUUGGUUUGGGAAAUAAAAAAAAAAUGAAACAAUGAAUUUUUCACCAGCAGCCAACAUAUUCAACUGUCCUCAAUUGCAGGAAGAGAAGAGCUGAUAUAUUAAAGGGAGAAGGGGGUUGGGGAGAGAAAUUAUUCUAGAAUUUGUACUUCACGAAUUAGAAAACAUACUAUAGCAUGGAGGACGAAGCCAAUGGCUUAGCUAAUGUUACUGGAGAUGAAGUUCAGAACAAAGACUUAAAGACUCAUCAAUGGAUGUCAGGCCUCACAAAAAGCCACCUUCACUCUUCGCUCAAUAAUCACACCAACAUUUUGAGAAAAAUGUCCAAUUAAACAAAUAAAAAGAAAGAUACCAAAGUACAGGAGAGGUUAAAGUUUAACAAAGGACAAGUCCAUUUCCCAUCAGGAGGUCAUCCCUAUAAUUUCAUGACAUCAAAUUAAUUAAUUUACAAUGAAAAGUCAUGGGAAUUAAGAAAAGGUUUGAUAGAAAUCUAAAUUUCAUACACAAUAACAGUUCAUAUAUGACAAAACCCAUAGGUUCAGAAAAAAUAAGAUUGCGUACAACAGUUAUAAACAUGACGAAAGAAAUUGUCCGUCCACCGGCACUCAAUAAGAGCAUCAACAAUCGAAGUAGCAAACUACCUCAGUUUUACUUGCAGGAAAUAUAUUAAGCCUGUGUAUCCGCUGACAGUAUUUUAACUCUGCAUGGUGCUUCUGUUUACCAUAUAGUACCCCAGCAAGUUGUGAAAGGGGCUCCGGUUGGUCUGGAGCAUUGAUGGGCCCAAAUUCAUGAGACUUUCCAGCAACCAGCUGAGCUUCGAAUGGGAGGUGAGGUCGCGGAACACUAUCAACCUUCCAUCCAUUGCUGGAUAGAACCUGUAUCCUAUCCCAUAAAUCUUCCAAGAAGUCCUUUUCAGAAGCAUCUUUCCCAGAUUCAUCAUCGUACUCCUCAAAAAAAGAUAAACCAGUGUCAGAAUUAUGUCUUCUAAUGCUCAAAUAGGCUUCUAUUCCAACCAUUACUCUUUCAAUCUCGUCAGGAACUUGCUCAAAGAAUUCUGAACCUCCCCAUGGAAGACAGGAUAAAAUGCAAGCUACAUAAAAGUCUCCACGUGCUUGCCAGGAAGGAUUCCCUUUCUCCUCAUCCACUGUAGUGGCAGCAGAUGACAACAAGGUUUCAAAGACAACCACCAAAGAAACCGGUUGGAGAACUUUGCUGCACAUCAUUGAAGUCAGAAGGCGCAUCAAAAUACGAAUCCUAUCACAACUUUCAGAAUCCAAGGCAUCCUGGAAAUUAAUUUGAAUAUUCUCAACUAUUUUCCUGCCAACAUCCUCAUUUUCCAAGUUCAAUAGACCAACCACUGUCCCAUACAAAGGAAUCUUGUGAGGCAAUUGUUCCGCACAUUGAAGAAGGAAAUCUAUAAUAUCGUUUGCAGAGUGCUCCAACUCUCGACGAAGAACACCAAAACACGUUUCAAUGUGUUCUUUGAAGUCGGAGCUGGUGCCAUACUCAGGGCACUUGUCGCCUAUUCGAAGAAUAAGACUUCUCCAGCUGCUCAUUCUUCUUCAAAUUAACUGAUUGUUCCCACAGAGCACUUACAAGUAGAAGAAAGGAAGUGGAGGGAUUUCUAGGGUUUAAUGGCCGUAGGCCCGUAAUAGAAACAUUGUCGACAUGAACUAAAGGAGGC